rnacentral:rRNA from 1 species
CGCGCAGGCGGUUUUGUAAGUCAGAUGUGAAAGCCCGGGGCUCAACCCCGGAAGUGCAUUUGAUACUGCGAGACUUGAGUAUGGGAGGGGGAAGUGGAAUUCCUGGUGUAGAGGUGAAAUUCGUAGAUAUCAGGAGGAACACCAGUGGCGAAGGCGACUUCCUGGACCAAUACUGACGCUGAGGCGCGAAGGCGUGGGGAGCAAACA